CUACCAGGUAGAUAGGUCAUCGGUGGAAGCGCUGUAAGGCGUGUAGCUUGAUGAUACUAAUCGGUCGAAAGCUUCAUUU
rnacentral:rRNA from 1 species